UACGUAGGGCGCAAGCGUUAUCCGGAAUUAUUGGGCGUAAAGAGCUCGUAGGCGGUUUGUCGCGUCUGCCGUGAAAGUCCGGGGCUCAACUCCGGAUCUGCGGUGGGUACGGGCAGACUAGAGUGAUGUAGGGGAGACUGGAAUUCUCGGUGUAGCGGUGAAAUGCGUAGAUAUCGAGAGGAACACCUGCGGCGAAGGCGGGUUGCUGGGCUGAUACUGACGCUGAGGCGCGAAAGCUAGGGGAGCGAACGGG
rnacentral:rRNA from 1 species